GUCCAAAAAAGUAAAGUACAUUGUAAAUUUGUAAUAAUAUCCACCAAGGGGGAACAAGAGGGAAAGAAAAUAAAAGUAAAAUCCUGUUAAAGCAUGAAAUUUCAACUCAGGGAAUUACUAGUACAGCAUUUGUUCUUUACCCUACUUCUUAAUGGGUUUCUUCUUUGAAUUCACAAUAGGAGAUAGCUGUGGCUUCGGAUGCUUUUCUACCUCACUUGGAUCCAACCACUUGAGAGGAUGGCGGUUGAAAAAGGGCCAAUUUGGGACAGUCACCAGUGUGGUGAGAACAACACCACCAGCAUAUAUGAGCAUCAUCGUCUUGAAAGAAGCCAUAAGAUAUCCCGUUCCAAAUGCAACCACAGCAAAUGCAAGCAACAUUAUCUGCAUUAGCUUCUCUGCUAGGUUUUGCCCUUGCCAAUCCAUCU
rnacentral:lncRNA from 1 species